AUCUACAGUCUUUUCGGCUGGGAAUACAGAAAGCCUGCAAGGGUGCCAGCUGCUUGUCCAUACAAGCCUGCUUCAAAAAAUGUUGAUGGUUUAAAUGCAGGUACAGAGUCUCUUGUGGAACCUCAUAAAUAUUCUGCUACACAAUCUGAUAAAAAAGAAGAAUAGAAUCAGAGUCAGCAGCUGUUUCCAUGCCAAAUGAACAGUUUGAAGUUUGUAUCAGCAUGUUAAAAAAUCGUACUUAAUGAUCUUAUGGCAGUGUGUUACAUGUGGUCUAAUUAUAUAAACAUCUUGAACCACAACGAGUGCAGUUUCUGGCUUC